rnacentral:rRNA from 1 species
UACGAAGGGGGGCUAGCGUUGCUCGGAAUGACUGGGCGUAAAGGGCGCGUAGGCGGUUCGUACAGUCAGACGUGAAAUUCCCGGGCUCAACCUGGGGGCUGCGUUUUGAUACGUGCGGGCUUGAGUUCGGAAGAGGGUCGUGGAAUUCCCAGUGUAGAGGUGAAAUUCGUAGAUAUUGGGGAAGAACACCGGUGGCGAAGGCGGCGACCUGGUCCGAUACUGACGCUGAGGCGCGAAAGCGUGGGGAGCGAACAGG